rnacentral:rRNA from 1 species
AUUGAACGCUGGCGGCAGGCUUAACACACGCAAGUCGAGCGGAGAGAGGUAGCUUGCUACUGAUCUUAGCGGCGGACGGGUGAGUAAUGCUUAGGAAUCUGCCUAUUAGUGGGGGACAACAUUUCGAAAGGAAUGCUAAUACCGCAUACGUCCUACGGGAGAAAGCAGGGGAUCUUCGGACCUUGCGCUAAUAGAUGAGCCUAAGUCGGAUUAGCUAGUUGGUGGGGUAAAGGCCUACCAAGGCGACGAUCUGUAGCGGGUCUGAGAGGAUGAUCCGCCAAACUGGGACUGGGACACGACCCAGACUCCUACGGGAGGCAGCAGUGGGGAAUAUUGGACAAUGGGCGGAAGCCUGAUCCAGCCAUGCCGCGUGUGUGAAGAAGGCCUUAUGGUUGUAAAGCACUUUAAGCGAGGAGGAGGCUACUUUAGUUAAUACCUAGAGAUAGUGGACGUUACUCGCAGAAUAAGCACCGGCUAACUCUAUGCCAGCCGCCGCAGUAACAC